CUUUAUGUGUUUUGGUGUUGUUUUGUUAAUAAUGUUGGCCUUUUAUGCAAUCUUAUGUGUUUUGGUUCUUUCUUCUAUUAUGCAGGUAUUUGUGUACCAGUCUAGGGGCUGAUUUUUUAUCAUGGAGGAACAUCCCUUGGUUAAGUUUGAACAUUGGGUUGAAGGAGGUGGCAUGUGGAGUGGUGAUUUUCAUUUUCGGAGUUUGAUUUUGUCCUUUUUGAGUGUCUCUCAAUUGGAGUUGUUGAAAAAGGGUGUGUUUGGACAGUUUAUGGAUUUGGUUGAUGUCCGCCUGAGUGAUAGUAUUUUCCAUUGCUUGAUCUUAUCGCAACUUUCAUCUAGUAAA